CGCCCUCGAAGCGUGCCCGAGGUGGGAGU
rnacentral:sRNA from 1 species